AAACCAACAGGGAUUGCCUCAGUAACGGCGAGUGAAGCGGCAAGAGCUCAAAUUUGAAAGCUGGCUCCUUCGGGGUCCGCAUUGUAAUUUGCAGAGGAUGCUUCGGGAGCGGCCCCCAUCUAAGUGCCCUGGAACGGGCCGUCAUAGAGGGUGAGAAUCCCGUCUGGGAUGGGGUGCCCGCGCCCGUGUGAAGCUCCUUCGACGAGUCGAGUUGUUUGGGAAUGCAGCUCUAAAUGGGUGGUAAAUUUCAUCUAAAGCUAAAUACUGGCCGGAGACCGAUAGCGCACAAGUAGAGUGAUCGAAAGAUGAAAAGCACUUUGAAAAGAGAGUUAAACAGCACGUGAAAUUGUUGAAAGGGAAGCGCUUGCGACCAGACUCGCUCGCGGGGUUCAGCCGGCCUUCGGGCCGGUGUACUUCCCCGCGGGCGGGCCAGCGUCGGUUUGGGCGGCCGGCUAAAGGCCCUCGGAAUGUAACGCCCCCCGGGGCGUCUUAUAGCCGAGGGUGCCAUGCGGCCAGCCCGGACCGAGGAACGCGCUUCGGCUCGGACGCUGGCAUAAUGGUCGUAAGCGAC
rnacentral:rRNA from 1 species